AGAGUUUGAUCCUGGCUCAGAUUGAACGCUGGCGGCAUGGCUAAAACAUGCAAGUCGAACGCGAAAGUACCUUCGGGUGCGAGUAGAGUGGCGAAAGGGCGAGGAAUAUGUUUCUACGUACCCCCAAGUCAAGGAUAGCCCAGGGAAACUUGGAGUAAUACUUGAUGUGGUCUUCCGGCAUCAAAGGCUUGCCACCUCGGGAUCGGGGAACGUGCUAUCAGGUUGUUGGUGAGGUAAUUGCUCACCAAGCCUAAGACGGCUAGCGGGUGUGAGAGCACGGCCCGCCGCAUCGGGACUGAGACACUGCCCGGACUCCUACGGGAGGCUGCAGUAACGAAUAUUCCGCAAUGCGCGAAAGCGUGACGGAGCAAUGCCGCGUGUGGGAUGAAGCCCCUCGGGGUGUAAACCACUGUCAGGGUUUAGAAACACAAUGAUCAAACCCAGAGGAAGAGCCGGCUAACUCUGUGCCAGCAGCCGCGGUAAUACAGAGGGCUCAAGCGUUAAUCAGAAUCACUGGGCUUAAAGCGUGCGUAGGCGGGCCUGCAAGUGCCUUGUGAAAUCCCACGGCUUAACCGUGGAACUGCUCGGUAGACUGCGGGUCUUGAGGUCGGUAGAGGCUGUCGGAACUCUAGGUGGAGCGGUGAUAUGCUUAGAUAUCUAUCGGAACGCCAAAGGAGAAGUCAGGCCACUGGGCCUGUUCUGACGCUGAGGCACGAAAGCGUGGGUAGCGAACGGGAUUAGAUACCCCGGUAGUCCACGCCGUAAACGAUGCGCACUAGGUCGGGGAGGUUUGACGCCCUCCCGGCCGAAGCAAAAGUGUUAAGUGCGCCGCCUGGGGAGUACGGUCGCAAGGCUAAAACUCAAAGGAAUUGACGGGGGCUCACACAAGCGGUGGAGCAUGUGGCUUAAUUCGAAGCAACGCGAAGAACCUUAUCCUGGGUUUGACAUGUAUGGAUUAACUCCUAGAAACAGGAGCAACACCCUCGGGUGGAACGUGCACAGGUGCUGCAUGGCUGUCGUCAGCUCGUGCUGUGAAGUGUCGGGUUAAGUCCCUCAACGAGCGCAACCCUUGUCGCUAGUUGCUAACAGGUAAUGCUGAGGACUCUAGCGAGACUGCCGGUGUUAAACCGGAGGAAGGUGGGGAUGACGUCAAGUCCUCAUGGCCUUUAUGCCCUGGGCUGCACACGUGCUACAAUGGUAGGUACAGAACGAAGCAAGAUCGCAAGAUGGAGCAAAUCGCUAAAACCUGCCCCAGUUCGGAUUGGAGGCUGCAAUUCGCCUCCAUGAAGUUGGAAUCGCUAGUAAUCGCGGAUCAGCUACGCCGCGGUGAAUACGUUCCUGAGCCUUGUACACACCGCCCGUCAAGUCAUGGAAGCUGGCAGCGCCCGAAGUCGCCCUGAUUCAGGGGUGCCCACGGCGAGGCUGGUGACUGGGACUAAGUCGUAACAAGGUAACC
rnacentral:rRNA from 1 species